GACGAACGCUGGCGGCGUGCUUAACACAUGCAAGUCGAACGGAAAGGCCCUGCUUUUGUGGGGUGCUCGAGUGGCGAACGGGUGAGUAACACGUGAGUAACCUGCCCUUGACUUUGGGAUAACUUCAGGAAACUGGGGCUAAUACCGGAUAGGAGCUCCUGCUGCAUGGUGGGGGUUGGAAAGUUUCGGCGGUUGGGGAUGGACUCGCGGCUUAUCAGCUUGUUGGUGGGGUAGUGGCUUACCAAGGCUUUGACGGGUAGCCGGCCUGAGAGGGUGACCGGCCACAUUGGGACUGAGAUACGGCCCAGACACCUACGGGAGGCAGCAGUGGGGAAUAUUGCACAAUGGGCGGAAGCCUGAUGCAGCAACGCCGCGUGCGGGAUGACGGCCUUCGGGUUGUAAACCGCUUUCGCCUGUGACGAAGCGUGAGUGACGGUAAUGGGUAAAGAAGCACCGGCUAACUACGU
rnacentral:rRNA from 1 species